rnacentral:lncRNA from 1 species
GAAGAGAAAGCUGCAGAGUCACAAACUGGCAAUAAAUGCUUUGGCUCAGGAAGGCACAUAUCACUUCUGUUUAUAACUCUUGAAGCAGAACUAGUCUCAUGGGCCUAGCCUCACAGUAAGGCAGGGGAGGAAACGCUGUCAUCCUUCAUACUCAGGUAGAAGAAAAUAAAAUGGGCUUCAGUAUCAUAUGACAUUAUCUUUGCCACAAGCAUGCACACACACACACAAACAGGUAACAGGAGGAGGGAGUGUGAGGAUCUGAAAUCAGAUUUACUUUCCAUGGUACUAUUCACAAUAGUCACUAUGUUUGGAUUUUUUUUUUUUUUUUCUUUUUAGGGUCACACCUGUGGCAUAUGGAAGUUUCCAGGCUAGGGGUCACAUUGGAGCUGUAGAUGCUGGCCUACAUCACAGCCAUGGCAACACCGGAUCAAAGCUGCAUGUGCAACCUAAGCCUCAGCUUGCAGAAAUGCCAGAUCCUUAACCUACCAAGCAAGACCAGGGAUUGAACCUAUAUCCUCACAGACGUCAUGUUGGGUUCUUAACCCACUAGCCACAAAGGGAAGCUAGUUAUAUGAGGAAUAGGAUAUAGUAUAAAAAUAUCUUCCUACAUGAUACUUAUUAAUUAUGAGUGGACAAAGAAUAGCUUUACAAUGACAGACAACACCUUAAUUUAGGGAUCAAAGUUAAUUAAUAUCACCAAUAAUGGGCCAAAGAGACAUCAUAUGCCUCCUGAUUUAAUGAGCUAAAAAGAAUGCAGUAUCAUUUUUGUGACAUUUCUGCCAAGAAUGAAUAGCCUGAACUUGAGGAAUCAUGAGGAAAAAAACCAGGUAAACCUAAAUUGAUGAACUUUUAUACAAAAUAUCUUGCCUCUAUUCUUCUCCUUCUUCUCUUUGUUCUUCUUUUCUUUAUGGCUAUACCUGUGCAUAUGAAAGUUCCCAGGCUAGGGGUCAAAUCAGAGUUGCAGCUGCUGGCCUAUGCCAUAGUCACAGCAAUGCCAGAUCCUGAACCUGCUAAGCGAGGCCAGGGAUCAAACUUGAAUCCUCAUGGAUACUAGUUGGGUUCUUAACCUGCUGAGCCACAAUGGGAACUCCCUCUUGCCUAUAUUCUUCAAGUGACAAGGUAAUGGAAGGUAAAGAAAGACUGAGGAAUUAAUCUAGAUUGAAGGAACUAAAGAGACUAGUCAACUAAAUAUAAUGGGUAAUCCUGGAUUGGAUCCUGAACCAAAAAAAACACAACAACAACUAUUUUUUUUCUUUUUUAGGGCCACACCUGAAGCAUAUGGAAGUUCCUAGGCUAGGGUUCAAAUCAGAGCUGUAGCUGCUGACCUACACCACAGCCACAGCAACACCGGAUCUAAGCCACAUCGGUGACCUACAUCAAAGCUUGUGGCAAUGCCAGAUCCUUAACCCAAUGAGCGUGGCCAGGAAUCGAACCUGCAUCCUCACGGACACUAUAUCAGGUUCUUAACCAUCGAAGCCACAGUAGGAACUCCAGAAAAAUACCAUUUUCCAACAACAACAACAACAACAAAAAUACCAUUUUCCUCUUUGCUAUAAAGGACAUUAUUGAAACAUUGAUGAUAUCUGAAUAAAGUCUGUAGGUUAGAUAACAAUGUUAUUUUUCAGAUUUUAUAAUUGCUCUAUUAUGUGGGAGGAUGUGCUUGCUUUAGGAAACAUAUACUCAAGUAUCUUCAAUUUACUCUCAAAUGGUCAAAUGGUUCAGGAAAUAAUUACACAAACACACAUACAUAUACAAAGAGAGAGCGAGGAGGAAGAGAAAGAACAAUAAAGCAAAUGUGGUAAAAUGUUAACAUUUUGAGAAUGUGAAUAAAAGCUAUAUAGGAGGUCUUUGUUGUUGUUUUGCUUUUUUUUUUUUUUUUUGUCUUUUUAGGGCCACACCUGCAGCAUUUGAGGUUCCCAGGCUAAGGGCCUACGCCACAGCCACAGCAAUAUGGGAUCUGAGCUGUGUCUGUGAUCUACACCAAAGCUCACGGCAACAUGGGAUCCCUAACCCAUUGAGUGAGGCCAGGGAUUGAACCUACAUCCUUAUGGAUGCUAGUCAGAUUCGUUUCCACUGAGCCAAGACAGGAACUCCAGGAGCUCUUUGUAUUUUUUACGCAACCAUUCUGUAAGUCUAAAAUUCUUUCAAAAUAAAAAGCUUUUAAAAGUGACUAGUGAUUAACUUAUUAAGUUUGUGACUUCUAAAUAAAAUGCCAAUCAGCAAAUUCCAUUUGUAGUAGAAUAAAAGUACAGGGUAACUAUUUUAAAAUUGUAUCUUACAGACUUAUGAUAAGGAUCAAAUAUUGUGCUAUGUAUAAGUACAGUCUGUUGUCAUUAUUGCAUUGUUUAUGUGUGAAUGCAUGUUUUCAUUAUAAUUAGUAUUACUGUCAUUUUGGCUGAAGUGGGUGAUUCCCACUGGAGAGUAACGGAGGCUGAGGUUGAAAGAGUGACAUGAACAAAAAACAAAAUCUUUUAAUUUUGAAAAAGAUUCUGAAUGCCAGGCAAGGGGGCUUGAAUUUUGCCUCAUGAAGGUCACUUGUGGGACACUGAAAAGUCAUUGCUUACCAAAAUGGGUUGGGGGAAGGUGAAUUCUUAGCCAUGCUGGAGAGUAUCAAUAAGAGAUGAGCUGAUGAUUGGUCCGGCCUCCUCAUUUUAGUUAAGCUGGUGGGUUUUGCAGAUGAGGCAUCUGGACGAGAGUCUUGAAGAUGAAGCUGUGAAAAUUCAAAGAUUGAGAGUGAAGAUAAAGACAAACAAGGAGAUAAGAAAUGUCACAUCACCAGGACCAGCUACAUAGUUUAGGGACCUGCUGUGAAAUGAAAAUGCAGAGCCCUUUGUUCAUAAGUUAUUAUGAAUUUCAAAGCAGUAACGGCAGAAAAUUAAGCCAGGGCUUGGUGGUGCGUGGUCCUACUAAGCAAGAACAGCAUAAGUCACACAUCCAUGAAGCUGGCCCCACACACAGAGUUCAGCAAGGAUGUCCACAUUCUGUCAUUCACCCAAGGUCACUAGGUGCUUUUGGUUGAAAGGGACUGGAACCCUGAUUCAAAUUGGCUUCAGCCAUAGGGAAGUGUACAGGAUGAGCAAAGGCACUUGAAGUCAUCAAAGGCCCCGGGUUCUUUGAGGCAAAUCUCUGUGCUCAGUGUACAAGAUUUGACCUCAAGCCCCUUAACAUCCAGUGUAGGAAAUGGGCCACCUUCUCUGUUCUCUUUGAAGGGAGCAAAGACGACUUUCCCAGGAGCCUCUCAGCUUUCCUUAGCCAGGAUUGGGUCCCAUGUCCAUGGCAGGAGGUAGCGGAGCCAUGAUUGGAUUAAGCAAUUGGGAUGCCCCUCCUGUAGCUGGGAGUGGGGCCAUCUUCCCCUGAAGCACAAGGCUAUGUAGAGAAGGGUGGACACCUGAACAAAAUCAGGCCUCUGGUGGGAAAGAGAAGGAGCUUUUGCUAUGGUUCCUGAAACUGCUGAUUCCAGAACUGCUGACCCUUGAUGGGUUAGCAACACUAGGCUGUGUGAGAAGGAAUGGUGUUACACAAUCUAAUCUUAGGUAGGUCACAAAAGAAUAUCUUUAUUUCAAUAAAUACAUGUUUAUUCUUAUGAAUAUAUUUUAAAAAUAAGUUGUAGGCACAAGACAACAUUAACCAUAAAGAAAAAAAAUUGAUAAACUUACUAAAAUGAAGCACUAUUGUUCAUCAGAAACAACAUUGAGAAAAAGGCAAGCCAUAGAGAGGGAGAAUGUAUUUGUAAUACAUAUAUCCAACAAUGGACACUUAUCAACAACACACUCACACACAUACAUAUAUACAUACAUCACACAUAUACAUGUAUGGGGGGGAGAUGGGACAUGUUCUGUGUAAUCUGUGGCCCAAGAAAAGUCCUUGGGGUUCUGGAAAAAACCCAUGCCACUGGCAGUAGAGCAUUAAAAACUUUUUGAAAAAUAUAUACACAUACUAUAAUACCAAAAAAAAUCAAUAAGGACAAAACCAGACAACUCAAUUAAGGGCAAAAUACAUGAACAAACACUUCACAAAAAAAGGACAUGUAGGUUGACUGAUAAACAUGAAAAGUUUUUCAGCCUCAUUAGUCAUCAGGGAAAUACAAAUUAAAACCACAAUGAGAUACAACUUUAAGCCAAUAAGAAUGGCUAAAAUUAAAACAGCUGAUGAUAUCAAAUGCUGGUGAGGAUGUAAAACAACUGGAAUACUCAUUCAGUGAUCCUUGGAGAGUAAACUGGUACAGCCAGUUAGAAAAUUAUCUGGCAGUACAUAGU